GCCUGGGAUAGCUCAGUCUGUAGAGCGUGAGACAGUUAAUCUCAGGGUCGUAAGUUCGAGCCCCAUGAUUCCUGCA